CUAAUCUGUCAUUUUCAUCUUACUCUCUCACAUUUUCACUAUCUCUUUAUCUCCACCUCUUCUGCAUCUCCUUAUCACUUUACAGUCGGAUCCGGUUCCUCUCCUGCCAAUCUCUCUCCGGCGUCUCCCCGCACACGACCGUUGAAGCUCAUGACCGUCGUCUCCGCCAAGGACCCAAACGUCGUCGCGUCUCAUCGUUCUAGCACCGCUCUCGGCGCUGGCCUGCUCACGACCGCCUUAUCCCACCCAUUGUGCCUCUCGCUGACGAAGCAAACCCAACCGCGUCUCGCCGUCUCCGAUUCUCUCAUUCAAUUUGUCGCCGUCAAGCUCAAGCCCCAUAUCCUUCAAUACGACUACCCCUGGUUUCCAAUUUCAAAUUUAGGAACACGAAACAUGUAACAUUGUACAAGAGGAAUGCAGAUUGUCUUGGCAUUUUAGAUUUUUUGUGGUUGUACCAGAGGACAUGACUAGAUGAAGAGUAGUACCUCGCACGCAAAAAGGGUUUUCUGUGAUACUUUCAGACAUGUCCAUCGGUUUCUGGAAUCACAAUUGGCAGUGCUGCUUCUUCUGUUCAAGCUUCAGCUGAUGAUGAUGAUGACUAUAUUCGGGAGGAGCAAAGUGUUGAUGAUCCAUCCGGUUCAAAUGAUAAGGGAGUCUUGCAAGUUGGAGGGAACCUUAUUAUAAAGAUUUUGGAGAGUGAAGAUUCCAAAGAAAUCAGUCAGAUUUGUAAACCAUUAUUUAGAAAGUCAUCGUAGCUGAGGCCUAAAGCCACAAGACCUUCAUCAAGAGAGAUCUAUUUGAUAUGUCAUGGUUUAAAGCCAGAAGCAAAGACAUAGGUUGUUUUAUACGAUAUUCUUUGUCUGGGUGAACAUUAGGGAUGAACAACAUACAAAACUCACCUUCUCCUUUAUUUUUUUAUGUUCAUUUUCAUUACUAUAUUUGUGCUUUGAUUUUGUUAAAAGGGUGUUCUACUUUUGGGCUCUACUAUGGUCAUGGGAUAUUUUCUAUUCUUAAUUUAAUUAUAAUAAACUACUUUUAAGAUCAGUCGGGGACCAUAUAAGAGACUAUCAAAUUUUUUACCUUGUGCUCAAACUGGAUUUUCUAAUAUUUUUGUUAUGAUCUUAUGUUCCUAAUUUAAUUUAUACCAUUUUAAACUUAAAUUAGCAGGAUCUGUUGCAACAAUGGGUAAGAACCAUUUGUGAGUUUAGUGACAUAAUUUGAUUGUCACCUUGGUUUCAAUUGUGCAUAACACUCAUUUGUUUCUUGCCUUGUUUACUUUGUGUUUUCCUGAAUGAUUUUCUUGUUUGCUGUCUGACAAGUUUUUAGUUUCAGGCACACUAGUUGUUCAAUGAAAUAGGAUAAAUGUGCGAAAGCAAGAAUCAUGAAGGUGAAAGAGCAACCCGUUUUAGGCUGAUUAGCACCUUAUUGAAUCGCACCUCCAAUAUUUUGUUCAUUGUGAGAGGUCCAUUUGAAAAAUCUUGGAAUUUUUACAUUAUUCCUUCGAUUUGGGUGCCUCUCUCUAUCUCUCUCUGUCGAGUUCUCCAAUUUCUUUGUUUAUCAUCACUAAUUCCUUUGUUUAUGUUCUGCAUAGUGAGAUUAAUUGAUUGCUUUAAAGAAGUCAAUUUAUGAGACUGGGCAUUCAAGGGAGUUUGAGUGAUUUGGUUACCGAGGUAUAUGGACUAUGUAGUGGAUUAUCUUUCACAAAUCGUACCGACUGUCUAGCGCAAGUUGAUCCAGGUUUCUCCUUCCUCGACCUUUCACAUUUUUUUAUGUGAAUUUAAUUUACAUUAUGAAUUCUUUAUUGAUUUGGGUUUGUGGAAAGUUCAGGACUUUCAUGUUUUAACCAUGUGAUGUGACCAAUUGCAAUGAGUAAUGUUCAAAAUCACUCUUUGUCAUCAAAUGUUGGCACAUCAAAUUUGCGAUUGAAAUUUAAGAAACGUGAACUUUACUACGUAAUGCAUCCAAAUGGUAAAGCUCUUAAUUCAUUGUUGAUUUUUCUUUGGCCAUUUUCAUGAUUUGGUACUGUUAAAUUGUGCUAUUAACUUUUGAUUUUCUAUAGUGAUUGUGCAUGUUUUGUCUUUAUCUACUUUCUUCUUUCAUCUGUUUGUUGGCUACUUAGAUAUAUGACAUACUCCUCUUUUCUCAGAAUCAAUUAAUUUCCACACAUGCUCAUAGUGUGCUACUUGUUUCUAAUUUUGUUUCAUUGACUCCAUGUUCUGUGGUGCUAAAAUUAACUUGUGGCAGUUUGUAGGAGGAAAAAGGGUGGAUGGUUUCGUGUCUGAGAUCAUUUGGUCAUGCUAAUAUUGACUGUUUAAUAGGGAGGAUAAAGGAUAAAUUGUAAUGCUGUUUGGAAUGAAGGAGGAUAAAUUGUAAUGAAGGAGAUUGACAUCUGGUAUUGAUUGUAUUUGUUUAGAUUUGGUAAAGUGGCCAGAAAUUUCCUUUAGAUCAGAAAAGUAGAAAUGAAAGGUAGAGUGGAUCGUCCACAUUCACUGAGUGCAUGUUUGUAAAUUUAAUAGAUUUUCUCAUUUGGGGGUUAAAUGAUUCUGGAAGAAGCUAUCAGAAGUAAUUCUUACAUAGGGAAAAAUGAUCAUGAGAGAGUUAAAGUAGAUCCAAACAUGGUGAAAAUUAGCUAUAUGUAUUACAGAGGAAAACAUUUUGAGGAUUGACCGAUAAAAUUAAAUUAUCGCCUGAUAAUCCCAAUACAAGCAACCAGGAAACUCCAUAAAUGUCUAUACCAGCUUUUCCAUUUCUAAGUAUCUAGGAGAAUUAAAUUUAGUAGGUAUACGCAUAAUGUACAAUAUUGUUUUAAUUGCACUAACAGUACAAAAAAGAAGAAAUUGUUUGUUAUGGAAUACUGGCUUAACUUUUCCUUCAAUGAUUUUCAUAAUAAAGUACAAAAAAAUGUGGAUUCUAUACAUUAAUUCAUUUGUGGGGCACUAUGAUCUAUUUGACUAUAGUAUAAGGAUCCAUCUCACACAUAACAUUACAUGUGCACAUUUCAUAUUAGAUGAUUUAGUUUCUAGCUUACUGGUAAACAGGUGAUUCAACCACUUCCCCAAAUUGAAGAAGUGAGCCACCAUUAAGUGGGUCAUGUACUUCUCCACUGAUGUCCUACACACGACACAACCUUGUCUCUCUUUUAGUAUAUCUUUUAUCUUUUUAAGACAAAUGUCGAAGGUAGUAAUAAAACAGAAACCAAAUACUUUGCCCUUUUUUGAUCCAUUUCUGUUUCUCUUCAACGAAUGUAAAAAGAACGUUUUUUAAUGUAUUAAGAGGAAUUGAGUGCAUUAGCAUCUGUUGAGAGAAUAUGACCGUUGGAGGGCAUUUCUGGAACUUCCAGAACCUGCUGUGGCUGAACCUUGGUAGGUAGGCUUGUCAGAAUAGUACACUGCUCUUGUACUUCUUGAUAGAGACAUUUGCCUGUAACCAUUUACUUCUGAUAUGACGACGCUUCAUGUUGGAACUUGUGAAGCUUGGUGAUCAGAGUCAGAGGGAAGCUUGGAUCCUCUGACCUUCGUAACUUCUGCUUCUGGACCUUCAGAGCCUCUGGUCCUUCAGAGCUUCUGGACCUUCAGAGCUUCUGGACCUUCAGAGCUUCUGGUCUUCAGAUCUUCUGAUCCUCAGAUCUUCUGGUCUUCAGAUCUUCUGGUCUUCAGAUCUUCUGAUCUUCAGAACUUCUGAUCUUCAGAUCUUCUGAUGAAUAUAUCUUCUGGUGUCAGAAUCAGAACCUGUUUGUCAAAACACUCAAGACAAACGUUAGAGUAUCAUAAUUGUUCAUCCACAAAUAAAUACUUGUUAUCAUCAAAACAUAGAGUUGUACCACAUGACCAAAUCUUGAUCUUACAGAUGCGCAUAUAGAAGUAAUGACACUUUAAGCCAAUUUGGCAUCAAUAAUUCCACUAGUUUAUUUGUUGUACAAAUUUUAUGAUCACAGGGUUCUUUAAUCACAUACAGCUAGUGAAAAACCAAAUCUCAGCAAUCAGAGAUGGCGUAUGAAUAUAGAAGAGUUGAGAUAAGGUCCAACGAAAUAUGUGAGAGGAUGUGUUUAAGUGCAUUGUUAAGUGUGUUGAUAUGAAGUGAUGGAGCACAAUGACAUAAAGUUGAAGUGCAUCAGGAAGCGUGUCGACAUAAAGCUGACAUAAAGAUGAUGGCAUCGUGUAGCGGGUUGACAUAAAUGGUAAAUGGUGUAACCUAAUUAAUUGAGUUAGGAUUUAUUCACACCUUAAUUUCACUUUUACUUCACUUUUUUAUCUAUUUGUCUCUUAUCUUUCAAUCAUAUUAUCACAUAUCACAUCUCUUAUUUUUUUUUUCUCUCUCUCUUUCUUCCUAUAUAACUCUAUUCUUUCCACCUCUUUCACACUUUUGAUGUUUCUGCAAGGUGGCUCAGACCACAGGCAUAUCAAUGUGACGUAUUGGUAGCCAAGGAAAUCCUAUAAUGCACCCUAAACACACACGUGGUUUCACUUGCACCAUUCAUGAAUGUACUUCAAUGCAAGAAAUUCUAUUUUAUUUGGUCUGUCCAGUUUUUAGACUUGGAGUGUCUAUUGCACAAGGACUGUCAGAUUGAUUUGAGGUGCAUUUAAUUAAAGCGCCACUUUACUUUGUAACUUAUGUCCCUUUAUGCAAUUUGGUAAAAGAAAUA